UAGGGGAGAGUGGGGUAAGAUGAGCCAGUGGGUAAGUUGACCCACCCCCUGUUUCUAGGCAACUAUGCACAUUUGGUGUCAUGAGACCAUACAUUCUGAAGGACUCCAUCAUUUCUAUUUUGCUGUGAAGAGGAGAUGCACUUGGGACAAAAUCUAUCAUGCCAAGAACCUACAAAAGAAGAACCAACUGGGGCUCAACACCCUUAGAAGAAAUGGAGAGAGCAGCCAUUGAUGUUGAGGGCGGAAAAUCCAUCAGAUCAGUGGCGAAGGAUAGAAAUAUUGACAGGUCAACACUGCGGAGAUACAUAAAAAAGGAGGUAAAGACAGUCAAAACAGUAGGGUACAGUGGAACAGCAGAAGCCAAGAGGGUCUUCACAUUAGAGGUGGAAAAGGAGCUUGCCGAUCACAUCAAAAGGUUGGCUGAGCAGUUCCAUGGCCUCACUCCAUAGAAAUGCUGUGAACUGGCAUUCCAGUUUGCACAAAAAACAACAUCCCUGUCCCCAACAACUGGAAAGAGAAAGGUCUAGCAGGUCGAGAUUGGUUCAAGAACUUUAUGGCACGCCACCAUCUUUCCUGUCGUAUGCCUGAAACAACACCUUUAGGAAGAGCUACAGCCUUCAACAAAACUACAGUCGGGGAGUUCUUUGACAAUCAGACAAAAGUGAUGG